CACGUAGGGGGCGAGCGUUGUCCGGAAUCAUUGGGCGUAAAGAGCUCGUAGGCGGCUCGGUAAGUCGGGUGUGAAACCCCCAGGCUCAACCUGGGGACGCCACCCGAUACUGCUGUGGCUAGAGUCCAGUAGGGAGUGUGGAAUUCCCGGUGUAGCGGUGAAUGACGCAGAUAUCGGAGGAACACCAGCGGCGAAGGCGGCACUCUGGGCUGGAACUGACGCUGAGGAGCGAAAGCGUGGGUAGCAAACGAGGA
rnacentral:rRNA from 1 species